AUGUGUUUUCAAAUGUUUUUAUUUUGUUAAUUUGUACAGAUUGAAGUAUCAACAGUUCAUUUAUAAUUCACUUAUCACAUCAACAAUUACAAUGUCUUUAGAACUGAGAUCAAAAUAAAAUCUAAGGCUACAUUUUAUAUAUAUAUAUAUACAAAAAAAAAAAAAAAAAGAUUAAAAAAAAGGAAAAUUUAGAAAUUUAUAACUCAUUAUGGUGUUCAUAAUGGAUAAGACUGGACAUAUAUCAAGUGAUUAAUAAAGAUGCAUUCAUUAUUACAACAAUAAUAACAAAAUAUAUAUAAUAUAUAUAAACAAUAGAUGUGCUUAACCUAUGAUUGCCUACAAUGUUGUCAAACAAAAUAUCUAAAUUUAAAAAAUAUCCCCAAAUAAGGUUCAUAGGUCAAACAUAGACAGGCAAGUCAUAAACUAAGCCUCUUGUUACAUAGUGAGAAAAGAUUUUUUUAAAGGUUUAAACACCUCUCCCCACCGCAAACUAGAAUCUACAUUAACAUAAUAAUUUACAUUCCAAAAGCCCCAUAACCUUCUAGCAUAUAUUAGUUCCUUGAGGCCAACUUUCUAAGAUCUACCCCAACAGUUUUGUCAUGCUCUGAUUACCCAACCCCACAACAAUGAAUGAUCUAAGGGCCAAAACAGUCUAAGAUAUAAUAUAUCUACAUUCUUCUUUUCACAUAACCAAUUCUAAGUAAAUAGAAUGUCUAACAUAGUAGGCCUGUGUAAUGGUAUCAAAAUUAACGUUUUGAAAUGCAAUAAUUAGAGUUGAUGAUAAACAAUAACAGACACAGAACCUUUAAUUUGGGUCUUUCAAAGUGGGUUAAAGAAAACAUAUUAUAUAGCCUAAUUUGUGCCUAAAGUUGUGUGCUUAGAUAAUGGGGAAUCAAACUCAUUUAAUGACUGACAUUCAAAACUUCUAGUCAUGUGAUUUUGUUGUAUAAUUGCCUCACAAAACUAACUUCAGAAAUAGAAUGCUUCAGUGUAGUAGACCAAACUUACAAUCUCAGCAGUUACGUGGCACUUCACUCAAAACAAGGCAAAAGACAGAGAGGAGUGGAGAAAGACGGUCGACAAAUCUUGCUUGGUGCCCAAACGGUCCAACAGACUAAGGGAUAGCUAAAAGUAGCUUAAAAUCACAAUUUACACAAAAUCAAAAUAAUGGCAUGAUGUCAGACAUAACUGUUGAAAAAAAUAUAAUGUAAAAACAAGAUGUGAAAAAGCCACAGAUUUAAAAAAUAUAAAUUUGUCUACAAUUUCUUUCAAGACCCACACCCUAACUAUACAAGUGAAAACUGAUCACAAAACUGACAGAUCUUUUCCAUGUAUAAAGUGGAAGACCGUCAUGAAAUAAUAAAUUAUGGAAUAAUCAAUGGAUUAGAAGCUUCAUGAACAUUAAAACAUGGCAUCAAACUUCAUUCAAAUGAUGAGUGUCAAAUAUCAUUAUAAUACAUUAUCAUACAUUUACCAAUUCUGGUCAUAGAAAAACAACCAAAAAAGUUAAUGGAAACUUGAUCAUAACAUUAUCUGUAAAGUUUAUUAUUAGUAAAAAAUGUUACAUUGAGGAGUUUUCAAAACAUCUUAUCUUAUAAAUUUCAAAUACUUCAAAUAUCCAAUGAGAAGAUAAUUAUGUCCUACCCUUAUCCAUGUGUUAACUUAGUCAUGCAUGUUAGUUUAAAGACUUAAUUAAACUCUUCUAAGUCGUUGGUUUUCCUGACUGAUUCAGGCAACCCAUUUUAUGCUCUAAUGGCACUAAGGAAGAAGGAGCAUAAAAGAAUUUUAUACAAUUCAUCUGCAUUUUAAAUUUUUGUAAAAAUUUCUGUGCUGGAAAAUGAUAAAACUAUUGCAGUAUACAAAAAUGUAUACAUUUUUUUACAGCAGAUAAAGAUCUAGUAUAUAAAUCAGGAGAAUGCUAUGCAAAUUUUCACAUAUCAACAGUAAACCAAUACUAGUUUACAAAAUUCGAUUAUAGCUAAAUGUACAUGGAAAUCUGUAUAUCAUCAUAGCAAAUUUAGGUCUGUUUAGAUCAAUGACACAAGGACAUUAAAAAUCCUUUAUAGCUAGAAAUAAAAUUGAUCAUUAAAUUUACAAGUGUAAAAAAAUUAAUUUCUAAAAUUCUAAAUUUGUAAUUCUUUUAUAUUGGAUACAUAACUUUAUAAACAACUCUAAACAUAAGAUUGUGUGUACAAAAAGUUGAGCUACAAAUUUUAAUAGAAUAUUUUGAUCCGAGAGGGAAAUAGCAUAGCCUGAGGAUACUGUUGAUAAUUCGUUGAUCACCAAAAGGCUAUGUCAGCUUG